rnacentral:rRNA from 1 species
UGGGUUUAUGGGGGAUGCCUUGGCGUCAAAAGCCGAAGAAGGGCGUAGCAAGUCUGCGAUAAGCCUCGGUUUGCUGACUAGCAAGCUUAGCCGGGGAUACCCGAAUGGGAAAACCUGAUCAUAUGAUCAACCUUUUUAAGGUAGGUAAGCAGGAGAACUGAAACAUCUAAGUAUCCUGAGGAAAAUAAAUCAAACGAGAUUCCCUGAGUAGCGGCGAGCGAAAUGGGAUCAGCCUAAACCGUGUGGGAUUUAUCCUGUGCGGGGUUGUAGGGCACUUUAUAUAGAAGUUACAAAAUGACAUUUUAGUAGAAUAGAUUGGAAAGUCUAACCAUAGAGGGUGAAAGUCCCGUAAACGAAAAAAUGUCAUCUUCUAAAGUGUUCCUGAGUACGACGGGACACGUGAAAUCUUGUCGGAAUCUGGGGGGACCACCCUCCAAGGCUAAAUACUUUUGACGACCGAUAGUGAACUAGUACCGUGAGGGAAAGGUGAAAAGAACCCCGAGAGGGGAGUGAAAUAGAACUGAAACCAUAAACCUACAAACCGUGGGAGCUUGUAUUUAUAUGAGUGACCGCGUGCCUAUUGAAGAAUGAGCCAACGAGUUACUUGGUACGGCAAGAUUAAGAAGUUAAGCUUUGAAGUCGAAGCGAAAGCAAGUCUGAAUAGGGCGAAUUAGUCGUGUCAAGUAGACCCGAAACCGUGUGAGCUACCUAUGGCCAGGUUGAAGCGAGAGUAAAAUCUUGUGAAGGACCGAACCCGUGUACGCUGCAAAGUGCUGGGAUGAGCUGUGGGUAGAGGUAAAAUGCCAAACGAACACGGAGAUAGCUGGUUCUCUCCGAAAUGUAUUUAGGUACAGCGUUAUGUAAUACUUCAUGGAGGUAGAGCACUGGAUAGACUAGGGGGCGCAAGCUUACCAAACCUAACCAAACUCCGAAUACCAUGAAGGGUAUCAUAGCAGUGAGACUGUGGGGGAUAAGCUCCAUUGUCGAAAGGGAAACAGCCCAGAUCGCAAGUUAAGGUCCCUAAGUAUAUGCUAAGUGUUAAACGAAGUAGGGUCGCCCAGACAGCCAGGAGGUUGGCUUAGAAGCAGCCAUCCUUUAAAGAGUGCGUAAUAGCCCACUGGUCAAGGGGCCCCGCACGGAAAAUAAACGGGGCUAAGCAUAUCACCGAGACUGCGGGAUCUAUUUAUAGAUCGGUAGGAGAGUGUCGUUAAAGCAUUGAAGCUAAGCUGUAAGGCUUGGUGGAGUUUUAACAAGUAAGAAUGUUGGCAUGAGUAGCAAAAAUGCCGGUGAGAAUCCGGCAGGCCGUAAGUCUAAGGAUUCCUACGCAACGUUGAUCGGCGUAGGGUUAGUCGGUCCUAAGGCGUAUCCGAAAGGAAAAGUCGAUGGACAGCUGGUGAAUAUUCCAGCACCUAUAAUUAAUUGUUUGAGUCAAAGGGGUGACGCAGAAAGAUAAACAGAGCAUACGUAUUGGACAUCGUGUGUUUUUGCCUGUAGAUGAGUAGAGAAGGUUAAAAUAUUUUCUACGUUUGAAUUGAGGGGUGAGAAAACUAUGAGGUUCGCCUCGUAGAAUUCUGUCGACUCUAAACUGCCAAGAAAAGCCUCGUUGAUUAGAUUUUUCAUAGACCGUACCGCAAACCAACACAGGUAGACAGGGAUAAACGUCCCAAGGCCAUCGAGAGAACCAUCGUUAAGGAACUCGGCAAAUUGACCCCGUAACUUAGGGAGAAGGGGGACCUUUUGUGUAUAUGAGUUUACCUCAAAAAGCAUGGAAGGUAGCAUAAAAUAGGCUGAAGCGACUGUUUACCAAAAACACAGGUCCAUGCCAAAGCGAAAGCUGAUGUAUAUGGGCUGACGCCUGCCCAGUGCCGGUAGGUUAAGGAAAGUUGUGCAAGCAACUGACUGAAGCCCCGGUGAACGGCGGCCGUAACUAUAACGGUCCUAAGGUAGCGAAGUCCCUUGUCGGGUAAGUUCCGACCCGCACGAAUGGCGUAACGACUUCAGCACUGUCUCAACGAUGGACUCGGUGAAAUUGCAGGACCGGUAAAGAUGCCGGUUACGCGCAGCAGGACAAAAAGACCCCGUGGAGCUUUACUGCAACUUGGCAUUGGUUCGAGUUUUAAAAUGUGUAGGAUAGGCGGGAGACUUUGAACUCUAGGCGUUAGCCUAGGGGGAGUCGCCCUUGAAAUACCGCCCUUUUUAUGAUUUGGACCUAACACUUUUGGACAGUGUCUGGUGG